ensembl:lncRNA novel transcript
AGCUGCCAGCGUGGCUAGAAUAAAAGCAAGCAGAGGAACGUGGAAGGAUGAGACUGGCUGAGUCUUCUGGUCUUCAUCUUUCUCCCAUGCUGGAUGCUUCCUGCCCUUGAACAUUGGACUGCAAGUUCUUUAGCUUUUGGACGUUUGGACUUACACCAGUGGUUUGCCAGGGGCUCUCAGACCUUCUGCCACAGACUGAAGGCUGCACUUUCAGCUUCCCUACUUUUGAGGUUUUGGAACUCGGACUGGCUUUCUUGCUCCGCAGCUUGCAGGUGGCCUGUUAUGGGACUUUACCUUGUGGAUCAUCUUGGCCCCCAGUGCUAUGGUGCACUGAGCUGGGUUACUAGGGCCACUUAGGAAAAGGGAACCCAGAAGCCUAGCAUGCGGCAAAAGGAAUCAAGAAAAACUUUUUUUUAAGCUACUUGUAGCUUUUCACAAUUGAGUAAGGUAUACUCCUGUAAACAAAAUUUGGAGCACAUUCGUCUCUCUCUACCUGAUUUCUCCAGAAUUUGAAAACUAGUUGACAACUUUGUGCCCUGUCUUCCAGUUUAACAUGGAGCUUUCAGUCUGUAAUGCAGAGGAUCCUCUAGGGUAUAACUCCACAAGGCAGAAGACAAGUUUACUGUGGACAAAAAAAUGGGCUAGAAUGUCUUCAGCUUCUCAGGCCCUUAAUAGGGCUGAUGAUGGAUGACUCUACUGGAGAAAAGGAAGACAAAGAGGUUUCAGAUCAUCAAUAAAGCAGCUGACUCUCAAGAAAUGGCUGGAAAUCAUAUUUAAAGUCGAUCUUAAAUGAAUUUGAAAAAAAUGCACAUAAAGAUCGUUACCUGCCUCGUUUGGACAUAUCAGACCUAUGAAUAUUUAUGUAGAAACAAGAGCUUAUAAUUAUCACAAAAAGAAAAUGAACACUACUUUUCCCAUUUAGAAAAAUAUGAAAGGCAAAUUUUAAAUGAAAACUCUCUUGGGACAUUUGAUAUGUCAUGAACUAUCAAGACCAUGACUAUUUUUUAAUAGCUUUUGAAAUCUUUCUCGAAAAUGUCUCUCUUCUUUUCUCCAUUCUUAUUUAUUCCUUAGUUUUGACUUUAAUAUAUUUAUUAUUCUCAGUUGCUUCUGUAAGCCUUAACUUUUAUCAAAUUUGUAAAAUAGCAGAGAAUAGAAUUUUGAUGUCAUUCAAAUGCCUCACCUAGUACUAUGCACAUAGUAAACACACAACUAAUACAACUGCACUUGGAUUCAAAGAUCCUUCAAUGGUGGAGAAUAGAAAAGCUAUAGGGCAGGAUUUCUAGUCUGCACAGAGCUGAGCACAGAGGAGCAGUGCUGUGUCAAGGGCAAGACUCUCACAAGUGGCUGGAGCAAACAGAGAGGAAAGACUCUUCCCCUAGAACCUAAGUAGCCAGUUAUUCAGGCCCAAAGGACCCCUCUGUUGCUAAAUCAGGGAUCAAGCCUUAAAUAGGUUAAUUUUUUCCUUAUGUGAACAUACAAGGGUAAGCAGACUUACCAUUCUCAUCAAAAGGAGAUGGAAAAGGGACAUAGAGGUCUGACAUCUGCAUAAGCUACCUAGCUACCUGCAAUCUAGCUGGUACAACAGCUAUCUUUAAUUUUUAGUAAGGGAGCUCAAGUAAGUUGCCCUAGAUGAAAAAACCAGUAAGGAGAAAGCUUAAAUAACUUGCCCAAGAUGACACAGCUAGCACAGGGCAGUGCUUGAGUAACUUCCCGAGGUUACACAGGUAGUGAGAGGUGGAAUUGCUAGGUUGUUCAGCACCACACUUUUCUCCCCUCUACCUCAAUGGUUCCUGGCUCUGUGUGGGUGUCUCCUAGCAGAUAAAAUGGCCCUCUUCCAUUUACAUUUGUCUUAUCCUUAUAUCUUCAAAAUGGUUCGUAAGACAAAAAGAGCCUGCCCUUGAUAGACUGCCUCCCACUGCAGCAAGUCUAGCACUGAGCAGCCCUAAGACUAGAAUGCCAACUUCGUAGAGGGAGGAUAGAUAGGAAAGGCUCCUGAGACCUGGGGCCUGGGAGAAGGAAGUAGUAGGUUCAAGAUUAAGAGGAGGUGAGUGAUACGUGUGGCUCAGACAUAAAAUGUAAUGCCCACCAAAAAACUCAGUCAUCAAUCUAAGUAAUAUUUACUGAAAUGAUUUUUAAAAUCACAGUAUGAGAAACCCGUGAAGAACAAAAUAUCAAACUUGUAAAUAAAGACAGGAUCCGGCAGGGCCAGUGUGGUGGUGAGGCAAGUGAGGCUAAGUUAUGUAAAUGAAGGGUUGGACCCUAUCUUAAUUUUAAACUGCUGAAAUUUUAUUUAUCAUGGGCUUUUUUGGCAUUUUGAUUGUUAAAAUAAUUCAUUAUAUUGUUUAUCUUGAUUACUGCAUUUUGGCAUCCCCAUAAAUUUUGUGCCUGAGCUGACUGCCUCACUCACUUCAUUCUAACGUUGGCUUUAGGGUGAAGGCUGGGGAGCCAAUCUGAACCUGACAAAUAGUCUGGGCCUCACAAAAGAAAGGAGAAAGGUGGGAGCCUCACUAAGAAUUUCAUGCCGGGCUCCUCUUGGCACAUUAUUUUGUUUGUUCCUGACGGCCACCCUCCAAGGCAGCUAUUAGUAUUAUCAUUUAUGUAGGAAACUGAGUGCCAGUAUUACAAGGGUAGAAAGUGACUGAGCUGGGUUUCAGCCAAGGCCUAUCUGCCUCUAGAUCCUGGCAAUUCCCACUACUGGCUGAUACGUGCCUAAUAGUUUAUAACCAAAAUUCUUGACAUUUUCUCCACCUUUCAAGUCACAAGCUCCACCACAUGAAGACAGAAAUCACAAUGGGAAAUUUCAUUUGCUUGUCUACUCUUGAAGCUGCGUGAAAUUUUAAACCAUAGCUCUAUUUUCCUGAUGUCCUUAAAUUACUAUUCUUCCCAAGUUAUUCAUAUUUUACGUCUAGUAUGAGGCUCAGACAGUAAAAGUGUGAAUGCAAUGCACCCAUUUUACAUGUAUCAUUCAUUACUAUGCUCGAUUGGUGUGCCCUUUGCCGCACCACAGCAUAUUUAGAACAAAACAGAUCAGUCGGUUGGGGGGAUUCAGUAACACUCUACACUUGUAUCCAGUCAAUUGUUGAUGGUAAUCCAAUCUUGGAUGUGGUGAAAAGAGGGUGGGCUUAGGGUCUAAGUGAAAUUGACUGCCAGUGUGUGACUCUGAAUCAUUUAUUUAUAUCUCUGAGGUUUUCGUUCCCUUUUUUAUAAAAAUUUUAUUAAAUAAGUUUUCAUUUUUCCGUAAAACUAAGACUGAAGGAAAGUCUGCCUUUCUUAAAGUCAGCAAGGUCUACUGAUAAAGAAGAUACCUUGUAAUCUCUACUUUCAUGACAGAAAUCCAGGCCUAAUCAAUACUUUUUUCUAUUAUCACUGUAAUUAAGGCAUAAGGCUUUCCCUGA